UUAAACUUACCAAAAAUUUGAUAGCAAACAUAUACGAUUCAACAAAGAGCACUUUAUUUGGCCACCAAAAAGGGGAAAACUACGGAAUUUUUUUAAGCUUUUGAGGAUUAGAGACGGAGUAACAAGUAAAUACAAAUACUUAAAGACUCAGAAAACAUAGGAAGGAAAAGCUCAAAAGUCAAAAAUGGCCCCUUAAUUCAAGCACUGAUACCAACUCUCUUCCCACCUCCCCAACCCCCAAAAAAAACCACCCAGGCAAAUCCUCAUCUUCAGCAUCCAGCCACUCCAAAAGCCAGCAACCACAAUAAUCAAAACUGUUAUUGAUAUAAAAA
rnacentral:lncRNA from 1 species